GAGGGAUCAUUACCGAGUUUACAACUCCCAAACCCCAAUGUGAACGUUACCAAUCUGUUGCCUCGGCGGGAUUCUCUGCCCCGGGCGCGUCGCAGCCCCGGAUCCCAUGGCGCCCGCCGGAGGACCAACUCAAACUCUUUUUUCUCUCCGUCGCGGCUUCCGUCGCGGCUCUGUUUUACCUUUGCUCUGAGCCUUUCUCGGCGACCCUAGCGGGCGUCUCGAAAAUGAAUCAAAACUUUCAACAACGGAUCUCUUGGUUCUGGCAUCGAUGAAGAACGCAGCGAAAUGCGAUAAGUAAUGUGAAUUGCAGAAUUCAGUGAAUCAUCGAAUCUUUGAACGCACAUUGCGCCCGCCAGUAUUCUGGCGGGCAUGCCUGUCCGAGCGUCAUUUCAACCCUCGAACCCCUCCGGGGGGUCGGCGUUGGGGAUCGGCCCCUCACCGGGCCGCCCCCGAAAUACAGUGGCGGUCUCGCCGCAGCCUCUCCUGCGCAGUAGUUUGCACACUCGCACCGGGAGCGCGGCGCGGCCACAGCCGUAAAACACCCCAAACUCUGAAAUGUUGACCUCGGAUCAGGUAGGAAUACCCGCUGAACUUAAGCAUAUCA
rnacentral:rRNA from 1 species